UGGGGAAUCUUCCGCGAUGGGCGAAAGCCUGACGGAGCAACGCCGCGUGAGUGAAGACGGCCUUCGGGUUGUAAAGCUCUGUUAUACGGGACGAAUAAUCUUGUGGUUAAUACCCAUGAGAAGUGACGGUACCGUAAGAGAAAGCCACAGCUAACUACGUGCCAGCAGCCGCGGUAAUACGUAGGUGGCAAGCGUUGUCCGGAAUUAUUGGGCGUAAAGGGCGCGCAGGCGGCUUCUUAAGUCUGUCUUAAAAGUGCGGGGCUUAACCCCGUGAUGGGAUGGAAACUGGGAAGCUCAGAGUAUCGGAGAGGAAAGCGGAAUUCCUAGUGUAGCGGUGAAAUGCGUAGAUAUUAGGAGGAACACCAGUGGCGAAAGCGGCUUUCUGGACGAAAACUGACGCUGAGGCGCGAAAGCCAGGGGAGCGAACGGGAUUAGAUACCCCGGUAGUCCUGGCCGUAAACGAUGGGUACUAGGUGUAGGAGGUAUCGACCCCUUCUGUGCCGGAGUUAACGCAAUAAGUACCCCGCCUGGGGAGUACGGCCGCAAGGUUG
rnacentral:rRNA from 1 species